rnacentral:rRNA from 1 species
UGAGGAAUAUUGGUCAAUGGGCGGGAGCCUGAACCAGCCAAGUCGCGUGAGGGAAGACGGUCCUAUGGAUUGUAAACCUCUUUGUCGGGGAGCAAAGAGGCCACGUGUGGUCAAAAGCGAGAGUACCCGAAGAAAAAGCAUCGGCUAACUCCGUGCC